UUGAUAAAUGCUGGGAUCUCAGAAGAUGUAAGCCCUAUCCUACCAUUAAGUGUGAUAAAAGCACUAAAGAAAUAUGAUUGGGGUGCCCUAUCUUUUGAUGUAAAACUAUGCAAGACAAAUCUUACCAGCAAAUCGACUAUGCGGGGCCCUGGGGAGGUGCAAGGAUCUUACAUUGCUGAAGCUAUAAUCGAACAUGUAUCGAGUUCACUAUUGUUGGAGGUGGACUUGGUCAGAAAUAAAAAUGCCCAUACAUUUGAAAGCCUCAAUUUUUUCUAUGGUAACAUUGUAUCGGUAGGAGAAUAUACACUGCCUAGUAUCAUGGAUAAGUUGGCUGUGUCCUCGAGCUUUUUCAAACGAAGAGAGAUGAUCAAACAGUUUAACCAGAAAAAUACAUGGAAAAAAAGGGGUAUUUCUCGAGUGCCAAUCGUGCAUGAAGUUUCGCAACGAUCGACCCCGGGGAAAGUCAGUAUUCUGCAAGAUGGAUCGAUUGUUGUAGAGGUUGGAGGGAUUGAAAUUGGCCAAGGGCUAUGGACAAAGGUGAAACAGAUGACUGCCUAUGCUCUUGGUUUAAUUGAAAGUAGUUGGGCCGAAGACCUUGUGGAGAAAGUAAGAGUCAUACAAGCAGACACCUUAAGCAUAGUGCAAGGUGGGUUGACGGCAGGGAGCACUACAUCGGAAUCAAGCUGUGAAGCUGUUAGACUUUGCUGUAAUGUCUUGGUUGAAAGACUGACUCCUUUGAAGAAUCAGUUGCAGGAACAAAAUGUCUCUGUUGACUGGCCAACACUGAUUCGACAGGCACAAAUGCAAUCAGUACACUUAGCAGCACAUUCUUAUUAUGUACCAGAAUCUAGUUCCAAGAAUUAUUUGAACUUCGGCGCUGCUGUCAGUGAGGUGGAGAUAGAUGUUCUGACUGGAGAGACUACCAUUUUGCAGUCGGAUAUUAUUUACGACUGCG
rnacentral:misc_RNA from 1 species